rnacentral:rRNA from 1 species
CAGCCGCCGCGGGAAUACGUAGGGCGCAAGCGUUGUCCGGAAUUAUUGGGCGUAAAGAGCUUGUAGGCGGUCUGUCGCGUCUGGUGUGAAAUCCCGAGGCUCAACCUCGGGCUUGCAUCGGGUACGGGCAGACUAGAGUGCGGUAGGGGAGACUGGAAUUCCUGGUGUAGCGGUGGAAUGCGCAGAUAUCAGGAGGAACACCGAUGGCGAAGGCAGGUCUCUGGGCCGCAACUGACGCUGAGGAGCGAAAGCAUGGGGAGCGAACAGGAUUAGAGACCCCGGUAGUCCCUGUCUCUUAUAC